UACGGAGGGUGCAAGCGUUAUCCGGAUUCACUGGGUUUAAAGGGUGCGUAGGCGGGUAAGUAAGUCCGUGGUGAAAUCUCUGAGCUUAACUCAGAAACUGCCGUGGAUACUAUUUGCCUUGAAUAUUGUGGAGGUGAGCGGAAUAUGUCAUGUAGCGGAUGAAAUGCUUAGAUAUGACAUAGAACACCAAUUGCGAAGGCAGCUCACUACACAAUCAUUGACGCUGAGGCACGAAAGCGUGGGAUCAAACAGG
rnacentral:rRNA from 1 species